rnacentral:rRNA from 1 species
CGGCGAGUGAACAGGGAAAAGCCCAGCACCGAAGCCUGUGGUCAUUUGGUCACUAGGCAAUGUGGUGUUCAGGUCGUUCCAUAGAGGUGCUGCUCCACCCUAAGUCCAGCAAUGAGUACGGUGGUACGGACAUGGCCCACAGAGGGUGAAAGGCCCGUGGGGGUGGAGAUCAGGCAGGCCAGUGCCUCUCUGGGUAGACCUUGGAGUCGGGUUGUUUGUGAAUGCAGCCCAAAGUGGGUGGUAAACUCCAUCCAAGGCUAAAUACUUGCACGAGUCCGAUAGCGAACAAGUACCGUGAGGGAAAGUUGAAAAGUACUUUGAAGAGAGAGUAAACAGUGCGUGAAACCGCUCAGAGGUAAACGGGUGGAGUUGAACUGCAAGCUUCGGGAAUUCAGCUGGUGAGUGUGGUUUGGGCUUGGUCAAGUCGGUUGGACAUUGAGGUCUGUGUAGCGGCAGGUCUUUACUUUCGGGUAAGGAUGCGCGAUACACUUAUCAAGUGUUGUGCGCCUCUUUGUUUAUCGGGCCAAUUUGCCAGUGCACUUUCUCGGAGUGUUCACCACGACCGGCACUGCUGUCUGAUUGCUGUGGUUAAACCGGACUUACAGGGCUCUUGUGGCGUUGUAUGGCCGGGAAGGCAGGUAGCUCGUUGGCUAGCUUGCGGUUUACCGCUGGCGUUUGGUUUUCGAGUGUAAAUAGCUGACCACGAUAUUUCUGUGCAGUGUGUCGGAGACGGCGGCUUGUGGUACGUGCGUGCGUGCCGGUUCUGCUGGCGUGUCCGGGUUUGGUUGUCAUGUUGCUUGUGAAUGCAGGCCUGGCAAUGGUUCGGAUUCGUUUGGUGGGCGGUUGCGUAUGUGGUGCCGUUAAGGGCCAACAGUCUGUGGUGUAGUGGUAGACUAUCCACCUGACCCGUCUUGAAACACGGACCAAGGAGAGUAACAUGUGCGCGAGUCAUUGGGCGUAACGAAACCCACAGGCGCAGUGAAAGUAAAGGCUUGGCUUGUCCAGGCUGAGGUGAGAUCCUGUCGUUUUCACGCAUGGUGCCACCAAGCAACGAGCGGCAGGCGCAUCACCGGCCCGUCCCAUGACGUAGACACAUAAUCUUCGGACCAGUGCACCGUCGGGGCGGAGCAUGAGCGUACAUGUUGAGACCCGAAAGAUGGUGAACUAUGCUUGCGCAGGUUGAAGCCAGAGGAAACUCUGGUGGAGGACCGCAGCGAUUCUGACGUGCAAAUCGAUCGUCAAACGUGAGUAUAGGGGCGAAAGACUAAUCGAACCAUCUAGUAGCUGGUUCCCUCCGAAGUUUCCCUCAGGAUAGCACGGGUGGAGUUGAACUGCAAGCUUUCGGAAUUCAGCUGGGGAGUGUGGUUUGGGCUUGGUCAAGUC